rnacentral:rRNA from 1 species
GACAGAGGAUGCAAGCGUUAUCCGGAAUGAUUGGGCGUGAAGCGUCUGUAGGUGGCUUUUUAAGUCUGCCGUCAAAUCCCAGGGCUUAACCCUGGACAGGCGGUGGAAACUACCAAGCUGGAGUACGGUAGGGGCAGAGGGAAUUUCCGGUGGAGCGGUGAAAUGCGCAGAUAUCAGGAGGAACACCGAUUGCGAAGGCAGCUCGCUGGGACGUCACUGACGCUGAGACGCGAAAGCGUGGGGAGCAAACAGG